rnacentral:rRNA from 1 species
GACGAACGCUGGCGGCGUGCCUAAUACAUGCAAGUCGAACGCUUCUUUCCUCCCGAGUGCUUGCACUCAAUUGGAAAGAGGGGUGGCGGACGGGUGAGUAACACGUGGGUAACCUACCCAGUAGAGGGGGAUAACACUUGGAAACAGGUGCUAAUACCGCACAACAGUUUAUGCCGCAUGGCAUAAGAGUAAAAGGUGCUUUCGGGGCUCGCUGAUGGAAGGAUCCGCGGUGCAUUAGCUAGGUGGUGAGGCAACGGCACUACAAGGCCACGAUGCAUAGCGGACCCGAAAGGGAGGUCGGCUACACUGGGACUGAGAAACGGCAGAGACUCCUGGGGGAGGCAGCAGUAGGGAAUCUUAGGCAAUGGACGAGUGUCUGACAGAGCAACGCGGCGGGAGGGAAGAAGGAUUACGGAUGGGAGAGCGAUGAUGUUAGUAAGGAUCUAGAGCGUUAGUAACUGAACGGAUCAUGACGGUACCGGACCAGAAAGCCACGGCUAACUACGUG